CCCCCACAAAAGAAUAAUGUGUGCCGUUUUAAAAUGUUACAAGCCCUGGUAGCCAUUUGGCAUACAAAUUAGGGCGAAGGCAAAUUUUCAACCUACUUCAAAAUAUCUUUGUUUUUGUGCAAACAUUGAUUGCUCAAAUGUGAAGAUGCGUGUGUUCUUCUCAAUAUUUUUCAGGAAGGAAAGGCUCCUGAUCACAAUACUGAUGACGAGAUGCGAGAUGCCACCCAUUUGCAAGAUGUAAAUGUGCCAGAGCUCAAAAGGAGAAGAUUGAGUGACGGAGAGUCUGAGCAUGUCGGGGAUGUUACUGAGAGGAGGAGGGAAAACAGCCCAAAGCCACAUACAAUCGUGAGCGAACGGACAUCGACUGAAAGAGAGAUAGAGAUUAAAAUACAGUAUUCCCAUGUCGUUGAUGUUACUGAAAGGAGCCACCGCAGCCCAAACCCCCAUACGAAUGUGAGCGAGCACAGAGCAACUGACAGAGAGACUGUAAUUUUAUUAAAAUAUAUUCAUUCAUAUUCUUUUUCGAUUCAGUCCCUUUAUUAA
rnacentral:lncRNA from 1 species